GGAGGGUGUAAGCGUUAUUCGGAAUUAUUGGGCGUAAAGAGCGCGUAGGCGGUCGUUUUAAGUCAGAUGUGAAAGCCCGAGGCUUAACCUCGGAAGUGCAUUUGAAACUAAGAGACUUGAGUAUGGGAGAGGGAAGUGGAAUUCCUGGUGUAGAGGUGAAAUUCGUAGAUAUCAGGAGGAACACCGGUGGCGAAGGCGACUUCCUGGACCAAUACUGACGCUGAGGCGCGAAGGCGUGGGGAGCAAACAGGAUUAGAUACCCUGGUAGUCCACGCAGUAAACGGUGAACACUAGGUGUAGCGGGUAUUGACCCCUGCUGUGCCGAAGUUAACGCAUUAAGUGUUCCGCCUGGGGAGUACGACCGCAAGGUUA
rnacentral:rRNA from 1 species